rnacentral:rRNA from 1 species
UGCUGUGAGGCAUGCUGGAGGUAUCAGAAGUGCGAAUGCUGACAUAAGUAACGAUAAAGCGGGUGAAAAGCCCGCUCGCCGGAAGACCAAGGGUUCCUGUCCAACGUUAAUCGGGGCAGGGUGAGUCGACCCCUAAGGCGAGGCCGAAAGGCGUAGUCGAUGGGAAACAGGUUAAUAUUCCUGUACUUGGUGUUACUGCGAAGGGGGGACGGAGAAGGCUAUGUUGGCCGGGCGACGGUUGUCCCGGUUUAAGCGUGUAGGCUGGUUUUCCAGGCAAAUCCGGAAAAUCAAGGCUGAGGCGUGAUGACGAGGCACUACGGUGCUGAAGCAACAAAUGCCCUGCUUCCAGGAAAAGCCUCUAAGCAUCAGGUAACAUCAAAUCGUACCCCAAACCGACACAGGUGGUCAGGUAGAGAAUACCAAGGCGCUUGAGAGAACUCGGGUGAAGGAACUAGGCAAAAUGGUGCCGUAACUUCGGGAGAAGGCACGC